rnacentral:lncRNA from 1 species
AAGAAAGAAAGAAAGAAAGAAAGAAAGAAAGAAAGAAAAGAAAAGGCGGAAGUUAUUUUCUUUAACAAGUAAAUGGGCAUUUAUAUAAUAAGGUGGCAAAUCAUAUUGGAAGUGAACAUCAUGAAGUUCUCUUUAACUCUGAGGAAGGCUUUCAGGCUCUGGAUGAAGUCAUAUUUUCCUUGGAAACUUACAACAUUACAACAGCUGAUGCUUCAAAUGAGAUAGAAAAACAUCUCCUGAGAGAGACAUUUGAGGACUCCAAUCUGAUACUCAAAGAGAUUCUCUGGUGACCAAAAGAAGUCUUCAGUGAUGGAAUAACUUCAGUUAAGAAUUCCUGGUUUAAGAUUUUACAGAAAUAUGUUGAACAUCAGGUUGAUGAUGCAAUGAUGGCAAAUGCAGCCCAGAAAUUUCCCUUCAAUACUCCUAAAACCAAAGGAUACUACUACCAUCAAAUCCUUGAACACCAUUUCCCAGGCCAGGCUGACUGGCUGAGCCAUUACUGGGUGCCCAAGUGGAUCGAUGCCACUGACCCUUCUGCCCACACACUGACCCACUACAAGUCAGCUGCCAAAGCUUAGGUGCUCUUUAUGCUGUAAUAUGAAAGCAAAUAUUUCUUCUUAUUGUAUGGGGACUAUGGGUAGAUAGGGGAACAAUGAAAGUCAACUCAGGCUAACUUGAAUGUGAAAAAAAUAAAAGUCCUAAAUCUAAAA